UGGGGAAUAUUGCGCAAUGGGCGAAAGCCUGACGCAGCGACGCCGCGUGGGGGAUGAAUGCCUUCGGGUUGUAAACCCCUUUCAGCAGGGACGAAGCGCAAGUGACGGUACCUGCAGAAGAAGCGCCGGCUAACUACGUGCCAGCAGCCGCGGUAACACGUAGGGCGCAAGCGUUGUCCGGAAUUAUUGGGCGUAAAGAGCUCGUAGGCGGUCCGUCACGUCUGCUGUGAAAAUCCAGGGCUCAACCCUGGACUUGCAGUGGAUACGGGCGGACUAGAGGUAGGUAGGGGAGAAUGGAAUUCCUGGUGUAGCGGUGAAAUGCGCAGAUAUCAGGAGGAACACCGGUGGCGAAGGCGGUUCUCUGGGCCUUACCUGACGCUGAGGAGCGAAAGCGUGGGGAGCGAACAGGAUUAGAUACCCCCGUAGUCC
rnacentral:rRNA from 1 species